rnacentral:rRNA from 1 species
GACAGAGGGUGCAAACGUUGCUCGGAAUCACUGGGCGUAAAGGGCGUGUAGGCGGGAAUGUAAGUCGGGCGUGAAAUCCCUAGGCUCAACCUAGGAACUGCACUCGAAACUGCGUUUCUUGAGUGCCGGAGAGGAAAGCGGAAUUCCUGGUGUAGAGGUGAAAUUCGUAGAUAUCAGGAGGAACACCGAUGGCGAAGGCAGGUCACUGGGCCGCAACUGACGCUGAGGAGCGAAAGCAUGGGGAGCGAACAGG